GACACUUAGGUUAAAUAAACCAGCGGCCUUCAAAGCCGCAAACAAGAUCGUACAACUCUUAGUAUCUGAAGGCAC
rnacentral:tRNA from 1 species